rnacentral:rRNA from 1 species
UGGGGAAUCUUGCACAAUGGGGGCAACCCUGAUGCAGCGACGCCGCGUGAGCGAUGAAGCCCUUCGGGGCGUAAAGCUCUUUCGACCGGAACGAUAAUGACGGUACCGGGAGAAGAAGCUGCGGCUAACUACGUGCCAGCAGCCGCGGUAAUACGUAGGCAGCAAGCGUUGUUCGGAGUUACUGGGCGUAAAGAGUGCGUAGGCGGUUUUCUAAGUUCGGUGUGAAAUCUCCCGGCUUAACUGGGAGGGUGCGCCGAAGACUGGGAAGCUGGAGUGUGGGAAAGGCAGGCGGAAUUCCUGGUGUAGCGGUGAAAUGCGUAGAUAUCAGGAGGAACACCGGCGGUGUAGACGGCUUGCUAGACCAUAACUGACGCGGAGGCACGAAAGCGUGGGUAGCAAACA